UCCAAUCAGCCACCCGGCUACCAUGGCAACUGCUAAUUUAUGACAGUUUUUUUGUAUGAGAGAGUGUAGCCUUUUUUUCCUGCCUUCCUGCGACUCGCAACAUCUCGCCUUUACGAGAAAUAACGGAAGCCGCGGCCGUUUCUGAGCCUUAGGGUCAUUGUUGAAACAAAACUUGACAAUUCUACAUACAUUUAAACUCCACCAACCAAGAGGUUUCGCGUGAUCUUGUUUCGACUUGGGGUUUCCAAUAGCUGGAUUGUCGGAACAAACGGGAAGUUGGCUUACCAAAUGAUUCAAGGAUGAGGUUGGGAGGAAACAGAGAGACUGGAGCUGCUCGUUGAAAAUCCAUGUUGCUGAAAUAAUCAUGCUGCUUGACAGAAUCCCACAAGCCAAUCUCUGAAUAAGGAGCUUGGGGAGAAGGAAACACUAUAAACAAUGAACGAAAUCAGUCAGCUUGAAAGUAACUGCUUUAUCACAGAGUGCCAGACCAGCCUAUUAAGUGAACCAGAUGAUUAAACAAGGCUUCUGGAUUAAUAAGGUUGGGUAAUGGGGGAAUAUCACCCCUCAGAUCAUCCAGUCAUAGAGCAACAUGGUCAGAGACACGAAUGGACUCCCACCCAUGAGGAGACUCAAGGAAAAGGAUAGAGACAAGAUGUUGAGAGUUCCUGAAAUGAAAGGCAGAGCAUAUACCCGGCAACACCAGUUCAUCACCUACUCCUCUGGCCUCCAUCUUGGACAGCUGUUACAAACAUCUCAGGUUACACUCUAUGGACAGCAACUGCAUGAAACCCCUCUCCACAGACAUUGGCAUCAUCAUGGCACCCAUCUGCCCACUGUAUGGUUCUGCACUUAAUCAAUGCUGCAUGUGAGAGCACAUUGGCAGCUUUCAUUGCAGUUCUGCUACCAGGAUACCUAGCUCAUGUUUUGUCUCAGAUACAUCUCAGGAAUUCCUUGUUUGGUCUCUUAGCACUCAUUCAGUUUGUGCCUACCUUGAUGCUCACAACAUCUCUGUCUUGCCUCUUUUCCCUUUGACCCCUCAGCUCGAGCUUAAAGACUCACAAUUUGCUAAUCCCAAUAUGCCUUUUGAUGCAGACGCAAAGCCAGGGAGCUUGUCAUGUUUGUUAGCAAUCAUUGUUCAAGGUGUAGACAAGUUCUGGUGGGACACCAUGCUACAUCAGUCUUAUCAUGUACCAGUCACGUAUGGACUGAACACACUGCCUGAGCUUCAAAUA